AGACACUUUUUUAAUCUUACAGAUAACGUUUACAUAUAUCGAAGACCAGAGGCCGGUCUGGAUGAAAUGGUUGGCUGGUGGGAGUUUUGCAGCUCUGGUGUUUAUUGCAGUAAUUUUAUUGGUCACGGCGCUCAGAAGAAAAUUCAAAAAACCAUCAAAAUCUAUAAUAUCGCCGCCUUCCACAGACAAAUGUGAUAGAUCAUUUAGCCCGGAAUGUACAGAUUCCUCGACCGAUGAAUCCGUCUCGAUCUGCAAACCUCUCAGACGGAGUCCAAGAUUAAUACACCCCACCAGAUGCACUGCUUGUACGACCUCAUCGCCAUCACCAUCGUCAUCAAAAUCAUUGUUAACCGAGAAGUCAUCAUCAACGCUUAAAAUUUCGAAAAUACCUCGUAGACGACAAUCAAAUUUAAGAAGGGAAUUUCAUGACACCAAAUUCUUGAAAGGAGAGCCAAAUGUCAGGGGCCCAGUAAGGGCCAAGGAGGCACCUGCCACGUUGAUCUUCGGGAGCCCAAAGAGUUAGAAGGUCUUACCAGCUAAGCGACUGUUGCGGUGAACGCGCUCGCGUAUUGGACUGAGGCCCAGUUCAAGCCACUACAGCGUCCAGCACAUCGGGAGUGAGUGAGGCUGAGAUAUCGCGAGCUCCACUGGCACGUGGUGAAGUUUUAAUGUUAUCAAAUUUCUUCAAAAUGAAAUUCAAUAAAGAUCUGUUGUAUGGACACAUGUGAUUUUGAUUAAUGACCGAGGUAAUGGAAGAAUGGUUUUAUUUUGAGCAUUGCCUUUCGUAUUUUGGAGGAGUUACAUAAGCCCGUAUUGGACUUAAUUUUGUAUCCAAAAAUUGUUGUUUUAAAAAUGUUUGUAAAUAUAUUUGAUAGCGAGCGAAA